rnacentral:rRNA from 1 species
GACGAACCGUGCGAACGUUGUUCGGAAUCACUGGGCUUAAAGGGCGCGUAGGCGGACAUUCAAGUCAAGGGUGAAAUCCCCCAGCUUAACUGGGGAACUGCCUUUGAUACUGGGUGUCUCGAGUAAGGUAGGGGCAUGCGGAACUGAUGGUGGAGCGGUGAAAUGUGUUGAUAUCAUCAGGAACUCCGGUGGCGAAGGCGGCAUGCUGGACCUUCACUGACGCUGAGGCGCGAAAGCCAGGGGAGCGAACGGGAUUAGAUACCCCGGUAGUCCUGGCCCUAAACGAUGAGUACUAGGUUGUAGCCUUGACAUGGGGUUACAGCCGGAGCAAAAGUGCUAAGUACUCCGCCUGGGGAGUAUGGUCGCAAGGCUGAA